rnacentral:rRNA from 1 species
UACGUAGGUGGCAAGCGUUGUCCGGAUUUACUGGGCGUAAAGAGCGCGCAGGCGGUCGUUCAAGUCGCGUGUGAAAGCCCCCGGCUCAACUGGGGAGGGUCACGCGAUACUGAUCGACUCGAAGGCAGGAGAGGGUAGUGGAAUUCCCGGUGUAGUGGUGAAAUGCGUAGAUAUCGGGAGGAACACCAGUGGCGAAGGCGGCUUUCUGGCCUGUUCUUGACGCUGAGGCGCGAAAGCCAGGGGAGCAAACGGG